rnacentral:rRNA from 1 species
GCCCUAAACCUAGCCCGCCCCACCUAAUCAACCAAAACAUAUAUAUAUACCUUAACACCCUAAACAACGCCACUAAACCAUUUUGCCCCCUGAGUAUAGGAGAUAGAAAG